rnacentral:rRNA from 1 species
UACGUAGGUCCCGAGCGUUGUCCGGAUUUAUUGGGCGUAAAGCGAGCGCAGGUGGUUUAUUAAGUCUGGUGUAAAAGGCAGUGGCUCAACCAUCGUAUGCAUUGGAAACUGGUAGACUUGAGUGCAGGAGAGGAGAGUGGAAUUCCAUGUGUAGCGGUGAAAUGCGUAGAUAUAUGGAGGAACACCGGUGGCGAAAGCGGCCAACUGGGCUUUAACUGACGCUGAGGCUCGAAAGUGUGGGGAGCAAACAGG